rnacentral:lncRNA from 1 species
AYGGUCUGUGAGGUAGAGCUGCCCAGCUGCGGGCCCUGAGUGGUGCUCACUUAAAAUUCUGGUGUUUUAUUAGGUUAGAAUCAGAUUCUCCAGCAAAGGGUGAGACUGCAAGAUGUGGAAACCACAAGGGGAUAUCUGAGAGAAAGGGUGCACAUCUUAUGCUUAUCAGAUACAGUCCAAGGAAGAUGAGUUCUGGACCUAAAAAGGGUGCCAGAUACAGCAGACUGCACAGUUUUGACCAUGACCCCUGAUUUGGAAGUGGGGUCCUGAAGCUAGGAAGGAACUCCCUCAUGCUGGGGGUUUUCACGUGAUUGGCCUGGAGCCUGACAAGGUUUAUAGACGGAAGCUGAUGUGUGGGAUGCUGUGAACGCGCCUGGUCUUGGCCAGAUUCAUGCAAGUCAAAUAAUUGUUG